GCCGGGUGCGGUGGCAUGUGCCUGUAAUCCAAGUCACUGGGAGGCUGAGGUUGGUGGAUCAAGUGAGCUGAGGAGCUCUGGGCUGCAGCACGCUAUGUCGAAUGGGUGUCCACGCCAAGUUCGGUAUCGAUAUGGUGUUCCUGGGGGAACCCGGGACCACCAGGUUGUCUAAGGAGGGGUGAACCGGCCCAGGUCGGAAACGAAGCAGGUCAAAUCCCCCGUGCUGUCCAGUAGUGGGAUAAUACCUGUGAGUAGAUGCUGCAGUGCAGCCUUGGCAAAACAUUGAGACCUAGUCUUUU
rnacentral:SRP_RNA from 1 species